GACGUAGGGCGCGAGCGUUGUCCGGAUUUAUUGGGCGUAAAGAGCUCGUAGGCGGCUCGUUGCGUCGGCUGUGAAAACCCGCAGCUCAACUGUGGGCUUGCAGCUGAUACGGGCGGGCUGGGAUUCGGUAGGGGAGACUGGAAUUCCUGGCGUAGCGGUGAAAUGCGCAGAUAUCAGGAGGAACACCGGUGGCGAAGGCGGGUCUCUGGGCCGAUAUCGACGCUGAGGAGCGAAAGCGUGGGGAGCGAACAGG
rnacentral:rRNA from 1 species